rnacentral:lncRNA from 1 species
AGGGACCACCCGACCUCGCGGGAAGCCUGAUUGCCUGCAGCUGGAGGUGGGUAUCCAAGUGGGCAGCCUGCCCAAUGCGGCCAAACUUGGACUGCGCCUCCUAGAGGCCCUGGAGUGUAGUGCAGGCAGGCAGGCUUUGAGGGGAGUGUUGGGCAGGUGGUGUGUUUGUGUUGGCGGGGGUGGUCCUGGGCCCUGGAAGGAACCUGAUUGCCCGUAUGCAAGAUGGGCCAUGUCCUCAACAGACUCUCACUCCACUUCCAGUGGGUGAAGAUGUUGGCAUCACCUUUUUUGACAAUAAUAUGCCAGUGGGGCUUGGUCCAUUUGUCUUCCCUUGUAUCAUCACAGUUGAGCUGGUGUUUGCCCUGAAUACUUGUCUGAAGAGGCCAGGAUCAGAAGAGUGUCUGGUUGCUUGGGGGAAUGGUGACAUAACAGUGCUGUCAGUCCUCUUGUUGGUGAUAUUAGGAGAGUGGCAAGGAUGUCACAGAAGUCACUAAUUGGAACCCAUGGUGCCCAAGGCCCAGAAACACCAACUGGGGACAGAAAGGAAGUGCAAUCUCCUACAAGAGCCUGGAGUCUCCAUGCCUAGAAUCCCAAGUUCCUGAAUGCCAGCCUGUUCCAUUUUGAAAGUCUAUGGUGAAACUUGCUUUGUGGUCAUUUCACAGGAGCAUUGUUAACCAAGUUAGGUAUUUCACUGAGAAGCAUCAAAACAAGAGUUACAAGAUUUUGAUCAUAAGAUAAUAGCAGGAAGUUCAACAGAAGUAACUUGCUGGUAUCUAAUCUCAGGGCCAUGAUUCCUGAAAGGAACUUCUAUAAAAAGGACCAUCAGGAGGGCUGAAAAUUUCAUGAGUCUCCCCCCUCUCCCCCAGCACAUAUUGAACCUAGCAGCAUGUAUCCACUGAGCCAUAUCCUGUGUCCUUUGUAUAUUUAUAUUUUCAGACAAGAUCCAGCUAAGUUGCUUAGGGCCUCCCUAAUUUGUUGAGGCUGGCUUUGAACAUGAGAGCCACCUGCCUCAGCCUCCCCAGUCCUGAGAUGACAGGCCUGAGCUAGCACCUCCUGCCCUGGGUCUUUAAUUUUGGCCACAUGUCUGCUGGUUAGUAUUUUUGUUAAGGAACAUUAAGGAGGAGGGAGAGUGGGUCAUAAAAAUUUCUUGUUGUUGUAAAGGCUGGGGGUUUGGGUUUGAAUUAACCCAACAUGUUGCUAAAUAAUAAUGAUCUGAGAAUUUAAUGUAUUUGAGGUGUCCCUGCCUCUCCUUGCACCCUAGGCCAUGGUAGAUCACUGAGAAUUUUUUAUGGUCAGAGUUCAGCCACAAUCCUUUUCUUGCUUACAAAAUUGGGAUCAAUCACUCUCAUGACACACCAGAACACUGAAAUUCUGGACAGGCAACUCAAGCUUCUGGAAGUAUUGCUUUCAAAUAUGAAAGUAAUAAUCAUUAGAAAGUGAUUUUUUCUGUCUUUAGAAAGUUAUGGUUGCCCUGCAAAGCUCUCCACAGAGGUCAGACUGGAAGGGGAUCAAUUAAGCAUUUAAAACAUUCACAGCAUUAUGCCAACACUUCCUCUAUGCAGUUGGAAAAUAUUUCCUUAACUCCACAUUAACCCUGUGGCUACAAUUAGUCCCCCCUCAUGUGCUCACUCCUAGUGACCUCUCACCUAUGUCUGUUUCUCUGGAUUUCCCAAUUUUUUAUAUUUCGCAUAAAUGGAGUCAUGCAAUAGGUGACCUUGUGUGACUGCUUUAUUUCAUUUACAGAAUGUUUUCAAGGUUUAUCUUGUCAUAGGACACAUUAGUACUUCCUUCAUAUUCAAGGAUGAGUAAUAUUACAUUGUUUGGAUAUAUCACACUGGUUUAUUUGCUUUGGGACUUUUGAGUUAUUUCCACUUUUUACAGUGAACAUUUGUGAAAAAGAAUUUUUUUUGGGGGGGAUAGUUCCUAUAUUUGAUUAUUUGGGAUACAUAACAAGGAAUGGAAUAUCUGGGUUAUUUGAUAAUUUUUUACUUAACUUUUGAUGGACUUCUAGACUUCCUUACUGUUUGUGCAGAAAUUGAUAAUGUGUUUAAAUGGCACAUGAUGCCUUCUGAAGUCUUCUGGCUAGUGUUGUUUCAGGUCUUAUAUGAGUGAAAGCACUUCUAGCCUUGAAAUGUGCCCUAACUGUUCAGCAAUGAAACUGUGGAUGGAUUGUAGAGGAGAGUUGGUGCAGCAUAGGACAGGGAUAGAAACCAAGAAUCAUCCACCUAUCCAUUCACUAUUUCAUUCAUUCACUAACUCAUUCAGAAAAUAUCUACCAUUCACGUACCCUGUGCCAGUCUGUGUGCUGGACGUAGGAAGAGGUACAUACGAUAAACAUUAUUCCUCAAGAGGCUGAUUUUGUGGGUAGUAAAAACAGACCUAUAAAAUAACAAUCAAGUGCUGGGGAUAUAGAUCAGUUGGUAGAGUGCUUGCCUUGCAUGCACAAGGCCCUGGGUUCCAUUCCCAGCACCACAAAAAAUAAAUAAAUAAAAAUAAGGCCCUCAACCUGGAAUCCCAGUUCCUCAGGAGGCUGAGGCAGAAGGAUAACAAAAAUAAUUUCUCAGAAGGUAAAGAAAGGAGCAGUAAGGCUGGAGUUGUGGUUCAGUGGUAUAGCACUCACCUAGCGUGUGUGGGGUCCUGGGUUCAAGCCUCAGCACCAUGUAAUAAUAAAUAAAUAAAUAAAAUAAUAAGAUUGAGCCUGAAGAGAUCAAGUGAAUUUCCCGGUGUUAUUCAGUGAAUGAAAUACCAUCAAGGUUACAAGAAUUAGGGACUGGGUUAUUUUCUUUGCUCCUUCUCCUCCUUUUGUGGGGCAUCAGGGUGAGGAUUCUAGAAUACCUGGAAGGAUCUGCCUCUGCUGGUUGGCUGAUCAUCAUUCCAAAAUCUUAAUGCCCAUGCUGAAUGGGAACUGGAGCAGAGGCUAAUUCAUUAGGGAGUUGGGGUUCUGAUCAAGGUGCUGGUUUCCAGGAAGAAGAGUGGAGGGGAGGAGAAAAGAAUUAAGAGCAGGAGGCCCAUGUCUGUCUCAACUCACACAUUGAAUACACUCACUGUGCUGCCCAUUGUUCAGAGAAGGAACAAGUGGGGUGCACACUCUGCUUUUGUUGUUGUCACAACUUAUGCUGUACCAUUGUAACAAUCCUCAAAGGACAAUUCUGAAAAGACCCCUGCUCCCUGCCAUGCCAAUGCCCCUGUGAAGCAUUAAACAAUAUUUUGCCCUUAAAAUGAUUCUCAUUCAGACACAACCUCCUUGCACAAGAAGACAGGAUGGAUGUGGGGUUGCCUCACAUUGGAGCCUGUGACACUGCUGACUCACAGGGAAAGCACAGGAGAGAUACCAAAGAUGUAUUAGGGAAUGUGGAAGUAGAGUUCAUUACCACUAUCUGAUGUAAUUGACUGGUGGCCACAAACUUGCAAGGACUCACACAGCACAGGGAAAUGCUUAGGGGUGAAGGCUGUGGGAACAGGAGGAUGGGCUUUGAGUGUGGACUCCACACAGGAGCCACUGACCUUCAAUUCUUCAGCUUCCUCAGUUUUGUUAGCUAUAAAUUGAGAUAUAGAGUGCUACUCUUAGGGUUGGUGUUGCUUAUUCGCAAUGGUCUAUAGAAAUGCUUGCAAUUUUUUUUAAAAGAAAUAAAAAAGAAAACAUACAUGUAAAGGUGGAGAACAACCAUCCUAAUCCAAUAUAGACAUUUUCUGGUUGGGUAUUAUGGCACAGAGAGGUUGAAUGACUCGUAUGUGGCCACACAGGAAGGAGUAAGGUGGUUUAAGACAAAGGGUUGCUUUAGAGCCAUUUCUAAAAGAUCUUGGGUUUUUUGUUUGUUUGUUUGUUUGUUUUUUUGUUUUGUUUUGUUUUUGUUUUUGUUUUUCCGUAGUAAAACAGAGUUUUCCGGAAGAUAUACUCAUGAAAGCUGAGCUGGUCCAUGAACAGCCUGACUCAGGCUGGGGCAUUAUUACUCCUGUUGCAUGGUGAAGACUGUAGGGACUCUUAUGACCCACUUGAGUGUCAGCCCUGUGUGGGAUACUUGACCAUCACUGUCUUAUCUCAUUUCAUCUUCACAGCACCCUCUCCUAUAUUCCUGCUAUGUGUUUUUUUUCUGAUUCCCUUGUGCCUAGAACACAGUAGGUCCUCAGCAAAUAUCAGUUGGCAGAACAUUCCAGAAUCCAGGAGCCCAGGGUCCAGGACCGACACUGAGGCCCAAGGGGAGAGUGGAGUCCAGAGUUGUGCAGCUGCUCUUAGGUCUGUUCAACUCUAGAGAAGAUUUUAGUGAAACCCCUCAGAUCAGCAGUUCAGACCCCAGGCCUAGGCAACACUGGGAUUUUCCUCCCAUUGGGCAAGAGCUUAAGCAGACAGGGAAAGGACCUCAGGGUAGACAGGUUUUGACCCAAAGCAGUGAAUACAAAGUAAAAUUUUCAUAAUCUGCUUGAAUCAAAUAUAUGAAAUACAUUUACCAAGAGCUUUGUAAUGUUUUGAACAACUAAUAAUAAAAAAAUAAUAAAAUAAAAAAUUUCUCCUCUUUGGUUUGUCUGGGGCAAGCACAUUCUAGGAUGCAUAGUUUGUGAGUCUCUGGCUCUGGGGCCUGCUUGGAUGGGUUUAUAGAGAAGCCCAAGAGACCACCUCUGGAUUUUUUUGCUCCAGAGCCUUGAGGACAUGCUUCUGUGUUAUUCUCUUUCUUCUUCUCUGUGGAGGGAUGUGCAGGCCAAGCAGGAGUCCUGAGAAACUGUCAGAACAGGAAAUGUCUGUAGGGGAGCAAGGGAUAGGAGGGGACAACUGUUAGUCAGAGGAAGAAAUGGCCUUUGGAGGGAAAAACAAUGUUUAUGACAUUCAGAGUGUAAACUCAUCUGCUAUUUUUCCUCCACCCAUACCUCAGUUCACCAAUUCAGACACAUACCACUCCCCACACCCUUAUCCAUCCAUCUACCUACCCAACCACUAUCCCCUCACCUGUCCUCCUAUCCAUCCCUAGAUCCACCCUUUCAUUUCCAUCCACCAAUCUUCCCAGCCAUAUACCCACUUCUCAUUCACUCAUCCACCCAUGCAUCCAUGUGUCUGUCUAUCUGCCCAUCUAUCCAUCCAUAAGUCUAUCCAUCUGUUCAUCAAUUCAUUCAUCCAUCAGUCCAUCUGCCCAUCCAUCCUUCCAUCUACCCAUCCAUCCACCCAUCCACUCAUUCACCCAUCCUUCCUUCCAUCCAUCAGUUUAUACAUCCAUCAAUCUCUCCAUCCAUUCAUCAAUCCAUCCUUCUAUUCAUCCUUGUGACCAUCAGUCCAUUCAUCCAUCUGUCCAUCUAUUCAUCAAUCCAUCCACUCAUCCAUCCAUCCAUCCAUCAUCCUUUUUCCUUCCAUCAAUCUGUCUAUCCAUCCAUCCAUCCAUCCAUCCAUCCAUCCAUCCAUAGAUAAAUCCAUCCUUCCAUCCAUCAGUUCAUCUAUCCAUCCAUCAAUCCAUCCAUCCACUGAUCCUUUCUUCCUUCCACCCAUCAUUCUAUCCAAUCAUCCAACCAUCCUUCUAUCCAUAAAUUCGUGCAUCUAUCCAUCAGCCAUCUGUCCAUUCACCCUUUCAUUCAUCCAGUCAUCCAAUUUCCCAUUAAGUCAUUCACCUUCUUUCCUCCCAUUCAUCCACCCACCAUGUCAUACCCCAUCCAUUCUUCCAGUACACCCCAGGGGUUUGCCAAUAUGACCACUGGCCUGGCUUUUUCAUUUUACAGAUGAGUGAUCCUCUAUCACAGGAGAAAUGACAGAGAACUCAGCUUUUGAAGGCAGAGUAGCCAGGUUCACAUUCAGGAUCUCCCAUUGGCUGGCUAGCCUCAGGUGGUGACAAAUGCCUCUGAGCUUUUCAUGCUCUUCAUAAGAAUGAUUCGUCUCAGUACCUGUGGUGAGGAGGAAAUGACAGGCUAUUAUACAGUGCUCAUUACUGUGGUAUGGCCUGAGGCAUCAUCUGCUGAGUACCUACUGUAUGCCAAGGGUGAUUUGCAUGUGCUCCCCUAGGUCUGAUGGGACUAUCCCCAUUCUACAGAGGAAGAUAUUGAGUCUCUGAGAGGUCAAGUGAAGGGACAGAGCCCAGGCCCCAAACCAGAGUAGUGGGACUCCAAAUUCCACUUUUCUACCACUUUGCCACUUUGAUUCUGGGUUCUGACCUACCACAAGCACACAAUGGGGCCCCAGGAUACUCCAAACCUUAGUCUCCCCAUAUGCACUAAGACUGCAUGGUUUCUACAGCUGCAGGCAGAAAAAGAGAGGAGAACAAAAGCCAGGGGUCACCACUGCCCUUUGUGAGCCCUGAUCAUUUACUCAUUCAACAAAUACAAUAUGCCCUGACACCUACUACUACAUGCCUGCCUGGAAUGCAGCAGUGUGAACACAGAGGUGACUGAGAGGGACAAAGAUUUCCAUUCUCUGAGGAGGAAAUUCAAUAGCCAAGUCCACAAAUUUGUGAACAACUUAUUUUCAUAGAUAGGAUGGUGAAAACACUUCUAUGGAGAAGUCCUUAGCAGGUGAGAAUGGUGUGCCUGUACAGGAGGGAGGAGGGGGCAGCACUCCAGGAGGACAUACUGCUUGAUCCCAGCACUAACCCAACCAUGAGAUGAGUCUUCCUGCCAAGGUCUGCAGGGGACAGAGUGCCAGGCAAAGGGAGCAACAAGUUCCAAGGCCUGGUGAUGGAAUCAGCCUGCUGGGGACAUGAAAUUGGGGUCAGGGACCUUGCCAUCAUCUGCUGGGGACAUCUUCACAUGGCUUCUGUCACAUCACAUUGAUUCCAUUAAUUAAUUACAAUGACAUCUUUUCUUCUAUCUGGGAGAGCCAGAGCCUGCUGACUCCUUCUUAUAAUUCUUUUUCAUUCUUACAAUCUGCUUUAAAACCUAUUCCCACAUCCCAAGGCCUCUGUGAACCAGGUAUAUUUCUCCAAAUGCCAAAAAAUAAAUACAGUAAAUUCACAUGCUUUCAGGGAUAUUUAUGGACCAGUCUGUGAGGGAAAUGGGCUGGUUGCCUUGGAGGCCAAGCUGACGGAGCUUGCGAGGUAAUUAGUUGCUGAGUUAUGGGGCCACUUGAAGCCUAAUUACCGAGAGAUCUGAGGUGCUUGCCUCAUUAGGGCCCAGAUUUCCAUGGCACUGCAAAGACUCAUUGGGUAAGCAUCCUCUGUGAGGUACAGACUGGAGGGAGGCUGCUGGGUCUCUGAGGGGACUUGGAGGUAAUGGCCAGAGGGUCAGUGAGCAUGGGGUAUGCUGGGUUGAAGGCUGUGCAGGGUGACAUUGCCUCCUCUAGGACAUCCAAUUCUUUCCUUCCUUCCUUCCUUCCUUCCUUCCUUCCUUCCUUCCUUCCUUCCUUCCUUCCCUCCUUCCUUGUUUUCUUUCUUUCUUUCUUCCUUCCUCCCUCCCUCCCUUUCUUCCUUUCUUCCUUCCUUCUCCCUCUCUCCCUCCCUCUCUUUCAUUUUGGUUCUGGAGAUUGAACCCAGGUGUGCUUAACCUCCUUCUCACCUCCCUAGUUAUAUUUAUUUAUUUAUCUAUCUAUUUAGAGACAGGGUUUCAGUAAGUUGCUUAGCCUCACUAAAUUGCUGAGGCUGGACAUGAACUUGUCAUCUCCUUGCCUUAGCUGCCUAAGCAGUUGGGACUACAGGCAUGCACCACCAUGCCUGGUGGCUCAUUUAGUAUUUCUUUGGUGGAUCCUGCAGCACUUUCUGAGGAUCUGGUUCUAUCUUGUUCCUCUGGCUGGAGAUUGUCUCAUUUAUAAAUGUUCCUUAGCAUAUGAUGGGGUCAUGUCCCCAUCAACCCAUUGUAAAUCAAAAAUCACACUUUUGGAAAAUGCAUGAAGAUCCAGCAGCACAGGUGCUCUAGGGAGUUGCCUGCCUCCCCACAUGAUCCUGGGGCUUUCUGGCAGCAGCAGCUCACCACUGCUACCCUGCCUCAUGGCAUGGCAUGGUACUGCAUGUCACCAGCCAAGGAAAAGAUCACAACUCAAAGUUGUCAGUACAGUUCUACUCAAUGCCUGUCACUUUUACACCAUUAUAAAGUCAAAAGAUCUAAGUUGGAUCCUUGAAAUUUAGGGCCAUGUGUUUACAUAUUUGUUCAUAAGUUUCCCCUCCUAUUUGUUUCACUCAUCCAUAUAUCCCUCUGUUUAUUCCACAAGGAGAUCUGGAACACUGAGCUGUGUCAGGGUUUGACAUAAAGGUUCAGGAGAUGAAGCUCUCUUCAUAGAGAGAGUGCUUGAUAAAUAGUAGGUACACAAUAUAUUUGUUGCAAUAACUCAAGAUCUCAAUAAGACUAUGUCCUGCUUAUCACUCACAUUUCAGGCUCUACAGGUGUGUACUGUGCACAUGGAUGUGUGUGUGGGUACAUGUAUAUGUACACAUGCAUGUGUGCUUGUGUGUGUGUGUGUGUGUGUGUGUGUGUGUGUGUGCAUGCUCUUGCAUGCACCCAAACUGAGGAUCUCCCAUGCAUCAAUAAGAGAGAUGCUCAGGAAAGAAAAUGUCCCAUGCAUGCUAUCAAACCUGUGGCCAGAACAGCUUUCACAGCAUGGAACAGUGACUGGAAUAUAAUAAGUGCUCAGUAAAUAAUUUGGGGUAUGACACAUAAAUGUGCUUUUACAGUGCAGGAGCUUUCACAUAGCUAGGACUAAAUGGAUGCUCAGCUAAAUGCGGGGACAAGAAGACCACAACAUGUGCUGCAACAGGAAAAGCCUUACCAGGCAGGUGGGGUCAAUGUGCAGCAGCAAGGUGGAGUUGCCCAUGAGGGACCUAGUGGUCAAGGGAUCUGCCUGGGUCAUGUUCUAAGAGGUCCUGGCUCUUGAACUUCAUGAGGGAGCAUGAAUAGAAGUCUGACAGCUGGUUCACAUGGGGAAGGGUCCAGCAGAGAGAACCAUCCCAUCAUUUAGGCAUAAUUAAUGGUGCUCAAGGUAAAUGUAGCUAGAUCGCUGAAGGGGACCAGGGCUGAGACAGGGACUCAAUCCCAAGAUUGCAUAACCUUGAAUGUCAGACUAGUAAUUAAGAUUUAUACCAGGGGCCCUGGAGAGAUGCUGCAAGACUCCCCUGUGCAAGUUAAGGACACAGUUGUAUGGGAAUUCCAGAGCAAUCUCUUCCUGAUUUUUGGAGAUGGUAUGGAAUAUGAUCAGUUGGCAGGCCAGGGAGGAGAUAGCAAGGGCUGAUCACAGCUAAGGACCCUGAGGACCCAGGAGCUGGGCUACCAAUGAGACCCCUGCAUGGCCAGAUUAUAUUUAGGAAGAUAAAACUUUCCUAACUCUAAAACCACAGGACUCAAGGACAGCCCCGUCCACCUGCUUCCAAACUGAACUAGCCAGAUUUUUUAAAAAUGGCAAUAGCAAUGUCUUUCCUUCUCUCUUCAAGGUGGUUAAUUAUCUUAAUUAUUUUUAUUAUCUUUUAAGAUCCUAAAUUGCUUAUUUCUGCUUCUCCUGCCAAAGGAGACCAAAAUCUGUUUUCUUGUGGUUGUUUUUUUGGUAUACGGAAUUGGACUCAUGAGUGCUCAACCACUAAGUCACACUCCCAGUCCUAUUUUGUAUUUUAUUUAGAGACAUAGUCUCACUGAGUUGCUGAGUGAAUCACUGUUGCUGAGGCUGACUUUCAACUUGUGAUCCUCCUACCUCAGUCUUCUGAGCCACUGUGAUUACAGGCGUGCACCAUCUCAACCAGAAGGCAACCACAAUCUUUUAUUCAUUACUGUGAAGUGAAGAUCACCAGAUGUAUAUUUUUUUCUGGUAAAAUUUAAAGGAAUUUAGAUUUAUACCCAAAUUCUUGUGAUCUUAAUUGUGUCAACAAGUGGAAAUUAAGUCAAGUGAGAUGUUGAUUGGCUGUGGGGGACACAGAGAUAAAUGCUCCAAAUCUGAAAAAUUCUUUUAUUUUUUUCUUGCUUCCUUUUCUCUUCUCUGAAUUCUUUUUUAAUUUUGGUCUGGGUAUUGACCCCAGGGGUUAUUAACCACAAUACACAUCACCAGCUCUUUAUAAAAAUGUUUCAUUUAGAGACAGGAAUAGUUAGGACCUCAGUAAGUUGCAGAAGCUUGCUUUGAACUCGUGAUCCUCUGCCUCAGUCUCCUGAACCUCUGUGAUUGCAGGUAUGCACCACGGUGCCUGGCUUCUCUGCAUUCUUUGUGUGAUGCAGGAAAGAACGUUUUAUUCCAGCUAAUCUUCACUUCAACUUGAGAGAGAAUUACAGGUCUGGAAAACUGUCCCAUUUACCCCAACAAAUAGAAAAGUGAUUUGGUUUGAUAUAAAUCCAUUCAUGGGGAACAUUUUCAGGUAAAGGGGGAAAAAUCAGCAGGAACCUGAAUCUUGGGAUAUUUGAAGCCAUGGGAUUUGGGUUCAGGCAGUGAAAGAUGCUCACAGGUUGAGCUGGAGGACAUGGUGUGUGGAAGGCCUGGGUGCCAAGGAGUGAUUUCUUGAGGAAAGUGGGCAGCCUGUGGGUAAGAUCUAGGUUUAGCAGAGAUGGCUCAAGGUUGGUGAGGCUGGAACAAGGCCAUGGUACUAUCCUGAAGCUUCUUGGGCCAAAUGUGUAGUGGUGUUUGAAGACAAUGUAGCUUUUAGAAAGGGGAUUGUUGCCAGAGCAUCCAUCUAUGGAGCUUACCUGGAAGCUGAGGCACAAGAUCCAAGUCAACUUAGUUUCAAAUGCUGGCUCUAACAAGUUUGAGUUUUGUGACUAAGGCACACACCAUAAGGUUCAGUGCUUUGUGGGAAGCCAUCCAUGAAAUGCAUGAAGAUCUUAUCUCAGCAUGGAAGCCAGGGAGAGAAAGGCCCGGCAUUGAGAACUUUCCAUGGCUCUCCCACAGCAAUAGAUUGCCCAAUCCACAUGAUCUUUCCUUCUGCUCUGCUAGGAAGGUUCCUCAGAGUAGCUCCAGUCAUGUGCAUAACCCACUAGAAACUGAACAACCGACCUUUAACCUUUUUUUGGAGAAUAUUCUAUAGAAUCUAUUUGGUAUAUCCUGAUAUAAAUGAAGCAGGCAUGGGCUCUAUUUAAUCCAGAAGCUUGAUCCACCUGAUUGCUUGCCCUUCUGGCCUCUGCCUUUGAAACUAUUUUCUGUGUUCUGUUUUUAUUGCUGUUUUAUUUCCAUUAGCCUUUAUUUCUUAGCCAGCCCAUUCCACCAAGGGGAACCCCAUUUCCACCACCUGAGCAGGACAUGGGUGGUAAUGCUUCAUUUCUCUACACUCUACAAUGGACAUGGUAAUCAUAGUACUCCCCUCUUGGAGCCUUUGUGAGGGAAAAAUAAAAUGAUGGCAGGUAUAUGAUGCUAUGAGAUCCCCAAUGUGGUGGGAAAAUAAAGCAGUUUCCUACUAAAAGUCACACAGCUUGCUGAAUGGAGACAAUGUCUUCAUCCCAGUGCUCCUUCUGAUUCUGUUUGGGAUCUAGGGGGAUCUAGGGAUCUGCACACUAAGGCUGGGUUGCUCAAGAUUCCCUGGGAAGAAGUGUGAGGGAGAACAAGAUGAACAGGGAAAGGUGUGAGUGUGUGUGUGUGUGUGUGUGUAUUGGCAGGGGAGGGCCCUCAUGCUUACUGAAAGGCAGGGAAAUUGUCUGUAAUUUUCUUUCCUGAAAAGCACCUGGGGAGGUGAAAGAAGGUGGCAUUAGGGCAGGACAGGUAAUCGAUUUUCAUCUGGGUGCAGACAGAAACGUCAAGCACAGCAGUGUUUGGAGAUGGAUCUUUGAGUUUUCCUGGGUCAGUGAGACUGCAGCCCAUGUUCCCACAGCAACACUCACCCAGCCUUGGCCUUCUCUGUUUCUGUACCUUUCUGUCUGCCUGUCCCCUUUCUUUCACCCCCCCACCCCCCCUCCCCCACAGAGCUCUCCUUGACUCCCUGCACCUUCCUCUCCCUGCAAACUCCUCCCUUCCUCUCUUUCCUUGGACCAGAAAAACACUGCAUUUGUAUCUCCAGGGGAGUGGGCAGCUGCCCAGUCUGGAGAUGGGAGGGAGCAGGGAGAGGGGAGCCUAGGCUGACAGGCUGUCUUAGAAGAGGAUUGGCAGGGGGGCAUCCUCCAGACCACAUAGCCUUCCAGUAAGAGCCCUGGAGGUUCCACUUGAAGACCUGCUUUCUGCGCAUGGACUCUGGGUGACUGGGGUGUAGGCAUGUGUGUAUUUGUGCAUAUGUGUCUCAUUAAAUGAUCUUAUUAAAAAUAAUUUUAGUUGCUUCUAGAAAAUUUAAGAAGUCACCAUGCUUGUCUUGUACUCUUUCCUCCUGGACAGGGCAGCUCUUGAAUUUGAAAAUUUGCAUCCUGGUCACCAAGAAAGUAUUUCUCCAGCCUUAGCCUUUUGAUUUGUAGUUGUUAUUAUACUCUGGUCUUUUUUUACUGUAGAAAGGAAAGAAUAUUCUAUUCUACUAAAAUGAAUGAUGUUAAAGUGGUAAGAUUAAUAAAUUUUUGCCACUAAUAUCAGUUUCAAUGUGCCCCAUCCUGGGACACACUCCACCUGUGUACUUAUUGAAGGCCAGACAAUGACAGUAAUAUCUAGCUGGAUUGGAAGUCAUUUUUAGAUUUUGAGGUAGGUCUUCAGAUUCUUCCCCUUGCUGCUGGCUGGAAGUUCACCUUCAGAGAUUUGACUGGUUAAGAUCCCCAAUGGAGCAAAGCAUGCCUCUUGGCACCCAAUGCUGGGGAAUCUUUGCUAGGAUUGCUCUAGUAGCCCCAGAAAUCAUAAGGGGUGGGUCCAGGGCUUGAACGACACUUGACCAGGCAGAAAGAUGAUAUGUAUAUCUACAAAUAUGCUAGGCAUAUCCUAUAUGUGCCAGACUGGACAGACAAACACUGACUCUGUCCUCAGGAGUCAGUGCCUGAAAAACCACAUGCUCUAAGUCAACCUGUGCUGGUUGGUUACAGGUAUUGUCUCAUUUGAUUGUCAGCCCAUUUCAUAGAAGAAGAGCCUGAAGUCAGAAAGGGGCAAAUCUUUGCCCAGGGCAUGUACACACUAGCUGGGGCUCCAAUCGUUAUUUAUAUGGUUCCAGUCAUGUAAGCCUUCCCUGAGGCUGCCUCUGGAAUGUUCUCUGUGAGGUGGGACCUGGAGAUGGUCCUGUUGCCCUUGAAUUCCUUCAGAUCUUCACAAUGUUUCCCUUCAUGAUGCUGUCUGAGUCCAUCGUCCCUGUUCUUAAUGGAAACCUUGGAGGACCAGUGCAUAUUUUUAGCUUUUGCCACACCAUGGGAUAAUGAGACUCAUAGGUUUACUUUCCACUGAGUAAAGUACUAGAACACUUUAAUUUUCCCCCAAAUGCUUUUGAGUUUCCCAGGAUAUGUAGGUGAGAGGAGAGAGGUUUAUCUGGCUUCUUACUCACCUGCCUCCCCAUCAGAUCCUCAGCCUCCCUGGGGAGGCACAGGGUUGCCCAGUGCACAUGGUCAGCCCCGUGUUGGAGCCAUGGACCUGAAUGCACCUUCUUCCUGCAUCCUGUGCAUGAGGCCUUUCACAAGAGACUUUAGUUGGCCAGGCCUCAAUUGCCCCUCCAUAUACGGGAACAAGGACCCCAGUUCUGUAGGACAUGGAGCACUCUAUUGAGGGACCAUGUGAAGUUUUGGAGGAGAAGGGGGCUUCCCUGUCCAUUUGGGCUUUGGUGUGACUGCAGUUCACUGAUAUGUGUAGGGGUCAAAGAUGGCUAGGGGAUAUUAUUAAUAGAUUCUGAGUUAUAAAUCCCAUAGGACAUCAACUUAACCCUUGGAUGAGGCCCCGAGUCUCCUACAUUCUGAAGAGGAAAAUCUCCCUGAGAACACUCUACCUAACUCUCUGCUUCCUUGUUUGGAAAAUGGGGGCAAUGCUCCAACCAACGCAUUACUGGUUCCAGUCAAUGGGAACUUCUAUAUUGUCCUCAGAUGCAGAUGGUCCUGUGGUUGAGUUGGUCAAGCUGGGGUGAAUUUUGCAAACUCAUUCCCUGGACUUGGCAUCUCUGAUGUGCCAGGCAAGGUGAUGGGCUGUGUGGGGGGAUUGUGGCUUCUACCUUUAGUGGACCCUCCUUAGGUGACUCUAAAGUCCAUACUGUGUGGCACUUGUCCUACCUCCACAGUCUCAGCCACACUGCCCCUUGGCUCCCCUGUGGAACUUUCUCAGCCUACUGGGGCCUCUACCAAUCAGAAAAGCUGAUUUAAUUAGUCUGGGGCAGGGACCAGCCAGCAGCACGUUUCAAAACUUCCCAGGUUGAGGUGCUCUCCACAGCAGUCUGAGUUGAGAAUCAACAGGCAGAAGAGCCAAGCACAUUCCAAAGCAGCUCAGUGGCAUGAAGUGAAGAAAUUGGGUCUUUGGUGGGAGAAUCUGGGGAACAAUCAGGACUGGCUUCCCAGAGGCAGUGAUGUUCUGCUCUGCCUAUAUGGGAAAAGCAUUCCAAGCAUAAGGAUCAGCAUGUGCAAAGUGUGCCAGUAGAUGUGCCUGGAUCAAGCUAGGAGAGGCAGGAGGGAGGGCAAUAGGCUGGAGAAGCAAGUUCACCAGCUCAGGAAAGAGGGAGAGUACAAGGCUACAGUGUAUGUAACUAUGACAUUGGAUGUACUCAGGUUAGAUUUUAGAGGUUCUGUUGGGGAGUCGCCCAUGGCAUCUUAGAAAGUCAUGGUGUGGCCAGUGUGCUUCCACCAGAAGCUGCCCCUAACCUGCAUCCUAGCCCCCAGAGAAAGCCCCAUCCUAUCUGAGAGCACAGGAGUACAUCAGACCUAGAAAGAAGAGGGAUCUGUACUCUGCCAUCUGUGUGAGGUCCCCUAUCCACAUUCGAGACUCAAAUCCUGCCCUCACCCAAAUGUAUCCAGACAUUUUGUAUCUGAAGAAGAGGACAGGAUCAACCCCAUGUAUUCAGAGUCCAUUGCCUGGUUUCUAAUUUCCCUAUUAAUUUCUUCUAAAUGUUUUUCAGGUUAUAUUUUCACUUCAAGACUAGUCCUCUUCUCAACAGACACUUUGCAAAAGUGGAAAUGUAAAUGGUUAACAAACACGUUGGGAGAAAGCCCAGCCAUGUGGAAAUCUGAGGAAAAAAAAAAAACUAAAGUACUGUUUUUAGGUCUUUUGGGUAUUGUUGAAGAGGAAUAGCUGGGUCAAAUGGUGGUUCCAUUCCCAGAUUUCCAAGGAAUCGCCAUACUGCUUUCCAAAUUGGCUGCACCAAUUUGCAGUCCUCGCCAGCACUUUUUGUUGUUUGACUUCAUAAUAGCUUCCAUUCUUACUGGAGUGAGAUGGUAUCUUAGAGUAGGGACACAGCCAUAUCAAUGUUCAUAGCAGCACAAUUCACAAUAGCUAGACUGUGGAGCCAACCUACAUGCCCUUCAAUAGAUGAAUAGAUAAAAAAUGUGGCAUUUAUACACAAUGGAAUAUUACUCAGCACAAAAAAAUUAACAAGAUCAUGGCAUUUGCAGGGAAAUGGAUGGCAUUAGAGUAGAUUAUGCUAAGUGAAGUUAGCCAAUCCUCCCAAAAACAAAUGCUGAAUGUCUUCUCUGAUAUAAUGUGGGUGACUCAAAAUGGGGUAGGGAGGAAGAGCAUGAGAGAAGAUUACCUCUAGAUAGGGAAGAGAUGUGAAAGGGAAAUGGAGGCAGAAGGGGAAAUGCAUGGAAGAAGGAAGGAGACCCUCAUCAUUAUACAAAAUAUAUGUAUGAUGAUGUGAUGGAAACAAAACAAAUUGCAUCACCUUAGAUUGGGUAGAGAGAAGUGAUGAGAGGGGAAGGGAGGGGAAGGGGGGAAUGGAAGGACAGCUGAAUAAAAUAGACAUUAUUAUUGCUGUGUGUAUAUACGUGACUGCAUGACCAAUGUGAUUCUGCAACCUGUGCACUCAGAAAAAUGAGAAAUUAUACCCCAUCUGAUUCAAAUGUAUGAUAUGUCAAGGUCAUUGUACUGUCAAGUGUAACUAAUUAAAACAAAUUUAAAAAAUAAAAAAAUAAAACAUUUCCAAGAAUAGAGGCUGCUAUACUGGGAAUUAGAAAGCCAAGGUUACUCCAACUUACCCCAAGUUUUGGAGUAAAUGGAUUACUAUAUGUGGGCUUCAGUUUUCACAUCUAUCUAGGGACUAUAUUAAAAAAAGCUUAAACAUACAAAAAUUAAUAAACAAACAAACAAACUACCAGUUUAAAACUUUAUGAACUUAAAAAAAAGAAAGAAAC